UACAGAGGGUGCGAGCGUUAAUCGGAAGUACUGGGCGUAAAGCGUGCGUAGACGGUUAUUUAAGUCGGGUGUGAAAGCCCCGGGCUCAACCUGGGAAUUGCAUUCGAGACUGAAUAGCUAGGGUACGGUAGAGGGAAGCGGAAUUUCCGGUGUAGCGGUGAAAUGCGUAGAUAUCGGAAGGAACAUCAGUGGCGAAAGCGGCUUCCUGGACCAGUACCGACGUUCAGGCACGAAAGCGUGGGGAGCAAACAGG
rnacentral:rRNA from 1 species